UUUACCAGUGAUAAGGUGCUAACCUUUAUUGCCUACAUUGUUUAACGAACCUCAUGAGAACUAAUGCAACAUCUGAGGAUGAA
rfam:Hordeum vulgare subsp. vulgare, WGS project CAJW01000000 data, contig: morex_contig_136919